rnacentral:rRNA from 1 species
AGAUUGAACGCUGGCGGAAUGCUUUACACAUGCAAGUCGAACGGCAGCACGGGGGCAACCCUGGUGGCGAGUGGCGAUCGGGUGAGUAAUACAUCGGAACGUGCCCAGUCGUGGGGGAUAACUACGCGAAAGCGUAGCUAAUACCGCAUACGAUCUAUGGAUGAAAGCGGGGGAUCGCAAGACCUCGCGCGAUUGGAGCGGCCGAUGGCAGAUUAGGUAGUUGGUGGGGUAAAGGCUCACCAAGCCGACGAUCUGUAGCUGGUCUGAGAGGACGACCAGCCACACUGGGACUGAGACACGGCCCAGACUCCUACGGGAGGCAGCAGUGGGGAAUUUUGGACAAUGGGCGCAAGCCUGAUCCAGCCAUUCCGCGUGCAGGAUGAAGGCCCUCGGUUGUAAACUGCUUUUGUACGGAACGAACGGCGCGGUUAAUACCCUGUGCUAAUGACGGUACCGUAAGAAUAAGCACGCUAACUACGUGCCAGCAGCCGUA